AAUCAACGCUGGCGGCGUGCCUCAGACAUGCAAGUCGAACGAUUAAAGCUCUCUUCGGAGAGUGCAUAAAGUGGCGCACGGGUGAGUAACACGUAAGUAAUCUACCUUCGAGUGGGGAAUAACGUCCGGAAACGGACGCUAAUACCGCAUAACGCAGCGGCAUCGCAAGAUGACAGUUGUUAAAGAUUUAUCGCUUGAAGAGGAGCUUGCGGCAGAUAGCUUGUUGGUAAGGUAACGGCUUACCAAGGCUACGAUCUGUAUCCGGUCUAAGAGGACGGUCGGACACACUGACACUGAAUAACGGGUCAGACUCCUACGGGAGGCAGCAGUCGGGAAUUUUGGGCAAUGGGGGAAACCCU
rnacentral:rRNA from 1 species